GGAAAGCGGGGGAUUCGCAAGAACCUCGCGCUAUGGGAGCGGCCGAUGUCCGAUUAGCUUGUUGGUGAGGUAAUGGCUUACCAAGGCGACGAUCGGUAGCUGGUCUGAGAGGAUGAUCAGCCACACUGGGACUGAGACACGGCCCAGACUCCUACGGGAGGCAGCAGUGGGGAAUUUUGGACAAUGGGGGCAACCCUGAUCCAGCCAUGCCGCGUGCGGGAAGAAGGCCUUCGGGUUGUAAACCGCUUUUGUCCGGAAAGAAAAGGCGCCUCCUAAUACGGGGCGUCCUUGACGGUACCGGAAGAAUAAGCACCGGCUAACUACGUGCCAGCAGCCGCGGUAAUACGUAGGGUGCGAGCGUUAAUCGGAAUUACUGGGGCGUAAAGCGUGCGUAGGCGGUCCGCAAAGUCUGAUGUGAAAGCCCCGGGCUCAACCUGGGAACUGCAUUGGAAACUAACGGGCUCGAGUGU
rnacentral:rRNA from 1 species